UUCACCAGGGCAACUUCCCAAGCAUGUAUCUUUUGAAUUCUCAUUUUUGAUGUGCUGAGUCAUACCCAUCUAUCUGCAUCUAUCUAUCUAUCUAUCUAUCUAUCUAUCUAUCUAUCUAUCUAUCUAUCUAUCUCUUCUAUCAUCUAACAUCUAUCUACCUAUUUGUCUGUCUAUCUAACAAUCUAUCUAUAUUCAUCAUAUUUCAUCUAUAUUGAUAUGAUUGCCAAAUAGUGUCAUUUUUAAAUUAUUUGACAAAUAGCUUUGAUGAACAGGUUUUCCCGUUCAUCUAUGUAGGAGUCUACAGUCAACAAGUUAGAGGAAGUAAUGACGGUGCAUUAUUGCUGAGGGUGCUUAAUAAUACAAGUUGCUAUUCAGAAUGCCACCACGAGACACACAAGGCCUUCAGAUGCUUGCCUUUGGCCUUCAUCUUGUACUUUGGAGCAGCCCUGAUGUUCAGAUGAGAAAAAGUCUUCUAAGACAAGAGACCUGCCCACAAACAAGGUCAGUGGGGCUUGAUGCUUCUCUUUGGUAUCUGCCAGGAUUUCCUGUGAACGCUCUGUGAUGAUAAAUGGUCUUCACCAGUUUAGCGAAUCAACCUCUAAGCUUCAAAACUGAAAUGAUGCUUCCGGCACAGAAGGCAAAGCAAUGGGGAACACACAGAAGAACCUAGACUACCGCUGCCCGAACGCCACCCUGCUAACCUGACCCUGAGACUCCAAACUUCACCUGUCCAGUGAUUGGUCACCUUUGCACCACGGCAGUGGCAUGUGGCAAAUGCCCUGACCCGGGGUUUCUCCAAGGUCACAAAUAAGCUGCUUUGUUGAAUGGCCAUGUAUACUUUGUAAAGUGUAUCGUUUUGAUUUUUAACAGCAUCCUGGGUUUUUCUGGCAUCAUUCCUCAGGAAAAGCUCAUAGCACCUUUCCCAAGUGUCUUUCCUUCA